rnacentral:rRNA from 1 species
AGCGAACGCUGGCGGCAGGCUUAACACAUGCAAGUCGAGCGGGCAUCCUUGUGGUGUCAGCGGCAGACGGGUGAGUAACGCGUGGGAACGUGCCCUUCGGUUCGGAAUAACUCAGGGAAACUUGAGCUAAUACCGGAUACGUGCGAGAGCAGAAAGGUUUAUCUGCCGAAGGAUCGGCCCGCGUCUGAUUAGCUAGUUGGUGAGGUUACGGCUCACCAAGGCGACGAUCAGUAGCUGGUCUGAGAGGAUGAUCAGCCACACUGGGACUGAGACACGGCCCAGACUCCUACGGGAGGCAGCAGUGGGGAAUAUUGGACAAUGGGGGCAACCCUGAUCCAGCAAUGCCGCGUGAGUGAUGACGGCCUUAGGGUUGUAAAGCUCUUUUAUCCGGGACGAUAAUGACGGUACCGGAGGAAUAAGCCCCGGCUAACUUCGUG